GACUGCAGGCUGCAACUCGCCUACACGAAGCUGGAAUCGCUAGUAAUCGCGGAUCAGCACGCCGCGGUGAAUACGUUCCCGGGCCUUGUACACACCGCCCGUCACACCAUGAGAGUCUGUAACACCCAAAGCCGGUGGGAUAACCUUUAUAGGAGCCAGCCGUCUAAGGUAGGACAGAUGAUUAGGGUGAAGUCGUAACAAGGUAUC
rnacentral:rRNA from 1 species